AGCACCUUAGCCACUGAGCCAUCUCCCAAGUCCUACAUAUGACUCUGAAGGUCGACCAUGAAGUACAGAAACAAGCCUGAGUCGGGCCAAGUGUCAGCAGAGCUGGAUCAAGGAAGUCCAGAUUUGACUCACAUAAGAGCUGCCUGUGCGUUCCUGUGCAGCGGUGGGAGUCAGAUCCACCAUGCUGGUCCACUAUACUGAUGGCAUCAUUCUCCUCAAGCCCAGUGAACAGGAAGUGGCAAGUACUCGGAUGCCCUCGUAAGAGCUAUACAUAUCAAGAGUGCAGGUUUCCAAUGCAUGGUAUGGAACCAUCUACGUUAAAGAGGAAGAAGAUUGUCAAGGACAAGGCUUCAUGAUGCUUCAGAAUCCAGUGAUGCUUUCACAGAGUGCUUGGCAGGGGCCCCACUCUUGCUGGCUGUCUGCCGAGGAGACCCUCAACUCUGAGUGACCCAUAGUCACUGGCCUGGGGAUUUCUUCAGCAUGGCUGCUGAUGACAUCCAGCAAGAGCCUGUACCUAAGAGAGAACAGCAUGGAGGGAUGUCAUCACCUUUUCAGGUCUAUUAGAGAAUAACCCAGGAUAAGCAGUGACUACCAUCACUGUAUGAGUGAAGGAAUAUGGAUCUCAAGGAGCCCCCACUCUGACCAGGGGAAGGCAGGGGCACUGUGGACUGGGUCAUGGCCACUGUAUGAUCAAAUACCCAGAGUUCCUGAUGAAGACAAUCCACAGAAGAUGCUCCAGACACACUCUGGUCCAGGUUACCACAUGGAUAGACAUGAUGAUUUUAGAGAAUGAUACAAGCCUCGAUGUCAGUAAAGCACAAGGCAUUUGCUUUGGUUUGAAGGCUACAAGAGGGGACGUCUGCAGGGGGAUUUGUGUAUGGUGAAGCAAAUCAAAGGAACAUCAGGAUGAAGAACAUCCCAUACCCAGUGAGCAGGAAGUGCAAAGGCCCUGGGGUGAGAGUGAACUUUACCAACUCCAGGAACAGCAGGAGGCUGGGGCCUAGAGGUGAGUAGGGAUCCAACACACAGGGAUCGUGGAGAGGCUUUAGAUGUCCCCAUAAGCACAAUAGCAGCUCUUGGGAGGCUUGGGUCUAAGGAGGACUCUGACUUGAUUUAUCUGUCUCUCUGCCUUUUGUACUGAGAACAGAGAGACCAUCAAGAGCUCUAGAGCCAGGGGAUGACUUAGUUAUUGAAAUGCCUGCACAAAGGCAUGAAGACCAGAGUUCGAGCUCCAGCAUGCACUCAAACAAGCUGGGAAUGGUUCUGUGAACUUGUAAUCCUAGAGCUGGAGAGAUGGACUGGGGGGCUUCUCAGGACUAACACUGGCUAGCUAGUCUAGUCAAAUAAUUGAGUUCUGGGUUCAUGACAGACACUGUCUCAAAGGAGGUGGACAGUGUUCUUGAGGAUAACUCUCAAGGUUAUCCUGAACUUCCCACACAUCUGCGCUCGCGUGCACACACACACACACACACACACACACACACACACACACACACACACACUUGAAAAAAGUCUUCUCUAGCACCAUUCACUCCUCACACCUCCAUGUCUCUUCCUAGGAAUGCCAUACUUUUUGCAAAGUCCCUGUUCACUCCUCAGGACACAGCUCCUAUGCACCCUUCUGGGGAUCCCUUUUCUUCCUUCCAGCAGGAUAAAUUCACAUUCUCACUGUCAUUACCACUUCCAACUGUGGGCACACAUAGUGUCUCUAGUCCUUCCCUCCACUAGGCCAAGAGUCCUUCCUACACUAAGAUCUCACUCUGAUGUGUCUCAGAGACCCCAAGCCUUCCCUAGCCUGGUCUGGGGGUGGAGCCUGAAAAAUAGUUUCUGGGUUGAUGUGAGUUUUUUGAGCACCUGGGUCAUUGGCUAAAACACCAAGUUAGCAGGUGCCCUUUGAACAAACAAGGUUAGAAGUAUCUUACUGUUUUUCCUGGUGAUGCUCCACAAAGGAGGGUGUUCCUCAGUGUUUUCUAAAAUCAAUAGCCAGUGAGAGUCAAAAAUUGAAUACAUAUCUCUCAAGAGCUGGUCCUGUAUUACCUCGAGAGAGUGUUAAAAGGAUUCUAGUUAGAACACAUCUUGUAAAUACUUGUGUUUGAAAAUGUACACUUGCAGGAUGCUUUGUGGGUUCCUGUACAUGUUCUUUGAUGACUGUAAAUCUGUUUGUCACAGAUGCUUCCAAUCCCUGCUUGUUGUUUUCUUUUCCUUAAUUAAUCUAUUGAUGUAGAAUUAUGCAUCUUUUCCCAUGAAGCUAGGAGUGCGUUCAAAAGCUCAUUUCCUUGUCUGAGACAUGUGCAAAUAAAA